rnacentral:misc_RNA from 1 species
UUCUUUUUUAUUUAUCCUCUAUUCUCUCUGGGUUCUCUAAUAUUUCCCACUUCCCAAAAGAUCUUUUCUUCUUUUUUUCCUUUUUCCUCCCUGGUUAAUUAUUGUUUCAUUUUUGUUUGAAUGCACGAGCAUAUCUUAUAUGACGAAUUGGAAUAUCUUAAUUGGGCUUCUUCUUAGGAUGAGAAAAACAAUGGAAUUGCUUAACUUUUGUUGGUUUUGAGUUCCAAUACUUCAAACUCUCAAUGCUGGAGCUUCCUAGCUAUGAAUUAAAAUGUGAUUCUGUGGCUGACUAUUGUACAAAUUUUGAAUUCAUGGGAGACAAAGUAUGCACUUGUAAAGAGCAGCAGGACCGUCCUGAUAGUACUUUUUAGUUAAACAAGAGGUUUUAACUGAAAUGUCUGCUUAUUUCUAAAAGAUUUGUGGUUUUACUGGACUAGUGUGAGCAAUUGCCAAUUGGUUAUUGUUUAGUUGAUUGCUGCAUUCCAAUAAUGUCAAUUGUUUAUCCUGUUAUAGGAUCACUGCAAGAAUUGCCUUGCAAAGCUUAAAGGGUCAGAAGUGAUAUUUUUUUGGUCAAGCAUUAGAAGUAAAUUUCAUGCUUAAGUUUCUUAAGUCCCAAUCAUUUACUUUUCCGACUUAUAAUAAUGCAGUCAGUUGCUUAUUGUUUCUGUUAGAUUAAAGACUUUCUGGUUUGGGCUGGCUGUAGCAAAUAUAAUAGCUUUGCUACAUUCUUUCUUAAUCUAGAGCCAAUUAGUAUUUCAGCUGUGGUAUUUAAUGUCAGAGAUCUAUUCCAAUAGCUAACCAUGGCAGUUCCUAGAUUGAAUGUAGACAAGCACCUGCUUUCACAAGUUAGAUGUGCAAUAUCAUGUUCAGCUUCCAGCUAACAAUUGAAUUAUUGUAACUUGUGACGGCCGUUUCCUCGUCUGCCAAUUGCAACCACACCCACGUACCCUCAAAAAAUUGAUAAAUAAAACAUGCUUCCAGAUCCGUAGCUCUUUCUGUGGUUUCUUGCUUGCAAUAGUUUAGCAUGAACAUGACUCUACUUUCCAUGCCUAAAUUCAUUCAAGGUGCCUAUUCUUGCUUAAAUUUCAGCAACAAAAUAAAUUUAUCGUGUUUCAUGUUGCUUUUGGAUCAG